UACGUAGGGUCCGAGCGUUGUCCGGAAUUAUUGGGCGUAAAGAGCUCGUAGGCGGUUUGUCACGUCUGCUGUGAAAUCCCGAGGCUCAACCUCGGGCCUGCAGUGGGUACGGGCAGACUGGAGUGCGGUAGGGGAGAAUGGAAUUCCUGGUGUAGCGGUGGAAUGCGCAGAUAUCAGGAGGAACACCGAUGGCGAAGGCAGUUCUCUGGGCCGUAACUGACGCUGAGGAGCGAAAGCGUGGGUAGCAAACAGG
rnacentral:rRNA from 1 species